AUAGGGGAGCCGUAGGGAAACCGAGUCUUAACUGGGCGAAUGAGUUGCAGGGUAUAGACCCGAAACCCGGUGAUCUAGCCAUGGGCAGGUUGAAGGUUGGGUAACACUAACUGGAGGACCGAACCGACUAAUGUUGAAAAAUUAGCGGAUGACUUGUGGCUGGGGGUGAAAGGCCAAUCAAACCGGGAGAUAGCUGGUUCUCCCCGAAAGCUAUUUAGGUAGCGCCUCGUGAACUCAUCUUCGGGGGUAGAGCACUGUUUCGGCUAGGGGGUCAUCCCGACUUACCAACCCGAUGCAAACUACGAAUACCGAAGAAUGUUAUCACGGGAGACACACGGCGGGUGCUAACGUUCGUCGUGAAGAGGGAAACAACCCAGACCGCCAGCUAAGGUCCCAAAGUCAUGGUUAAGUGGGAAACGAAGUGGGAAGGCUCAGACAGCCAGGAUGUUGGCUUAGAAGCAGCCAUCAUUUAAAGAAAGCGUAAUAGCUCACUGGUCGAGUCGGCCUGCGCGGAAGAUGUAACGGGGCUAAACCAUGCACCGAAGCUGCGGCAGCGACAUGUAGAUGUUGUUGGGUAGGGGAGCGUUCUGUAAGCCUGUGAAGGUGUGCUGCGAGGCAUGCUGGAGGUAUCAGAAGUGCGAAUGCUGACAUAAGUAACGAUAAUGCGGGUGAAAAACCCGCACGCCGGAAGACCAAGGGUUCCUGUCCAACGUUAAUCGGGGCAGGGUGAGUCGACCCCUAAGGCGAGGCAGAAAUGCGUAGUCGAUGGGAAACAGGUUAAUAUUCCUGUACUGGUGAUAAUUGCGAUGGGGGGACGGAGAAGGCUAGGCUGGCCGGGCGACGGUUGUCCCGGUUUAAGGAUGUAGGUGGGCGAAUUAGGCAAAUCCGGUUCGCUAUACACUGAGGUCUGAUGACGAGUCACUACGGUGGCGAAGUAGCUCAUGCCCCGCUUCCAGGAAAAGCCUCUAAGCUCUAGAUUAUCAUUAAUCGUACCCCAAACCGACACAGGUGGUCAGGUAGAGAAUACUCAGGCGCUUGAGAGAACUCGGGUGAAGGAACUAGGCAAAAUGGUGCCGUAACUUCGGGAGAAGGCACGCUGGCAUUAGGUGAAGUGGUUUACCCAUGGAGCUGAAGCCAGUCGCAGAUACCAGCUGGCUGCAACUGUUUAUUAAAAACACAGCACUGUGCAAACACGAAAGUGGACGUAUACGGUGUGACGCCUGCCCGGUGCUGGAAGGUUAAUUGAUGGGGUUAUCCGUAAGGAGAAGCUCUUGAUCGAAGCCCCAGUAAACGGCGGCCGUAACUAUAACGGUCCUAAGGUAGCGAAAUUCCUUGUCGGGUAAGUUCCGACCUGCACGAAUGGCGUAAUGAUGGCCAGGCUGUCUCCACCCGAGACUCAGUGAAAUUGAACUCGCUGUGAAGAUGCAGUGUACCCGCGGCAAGACGGAAAGACCCCGUGAACCUUUACUAUAGCUUGACACUGAACAUUGAGCCUUGAUGUGUAGGAUAGGUGGGAGGCUUUGAAGUGUGGACGCCAGUCUGCAUGGAGCCAACCUUGAAAUACCACCCUUUAAUGUUUGAUGUUCUAACGUAGCCCCAUAAUCUGGGGUGCGGACAGUGUCUGGUGGGUAGUUUGACUGGGGCGGUCUCCUCCCAAAGCGUAACGGAGGAGCACGAAGGUUGGCUAAGCAUGGUCGGACAUCAUGCGGUUAGUGCAAAGGCAUAAGCCAGCUUGACUGCGAGAGUGACGGCUCGAGCAGGUACGAAAGUAGGUCUUAGUGAUCCGGUGGUUCUGAAUGGAAGGGCCAUCGCUCAACGGAUAAAAGGUACUCCGGGGAUAACAGGCUGAUACCGCCCAAGAGUUCAUAUCGACGGCGGUGUUUGGCACCUCGAUGUCGGCUCAUCACAUCCUGGGGCUGAAGUAGGUCCCAAGGGUAUGGCUGUUCGCCAUUUAAAGUGGUACGCGAGCUGGGUUUAGAACGUCGUGAGACAGUUCGGUCCCUAUCUGCCGUGGGCGUUGGAAGAUUGAAAGGGGCUGCUCCUAGUACGAGAGGACCGGAGUGGACGCACCGCUGGUGUUCGGGUUGUCAUGCCAAUGGCACUGCCCGGUAGCUAAGUGCGGAAGAGAUAACCGCUGAAAGCAUCUAAGCGGGAAACUUGCCUUGAGAUGAGUCUUCCCUGACUCUUUAAGGGUCCUAAAGGAACGUUUAAGACGAAGACGUUGAUAGGCUGGGUGUGUAAGCGUAGCGAUACGUUGAGCUAACCAGUACUAAUGAACCGUGAGGCUUAACCUGACAACACCGAAGGUGUUUUAG
rnacentral:rRNA from 1 species